GAUGCGCCUGUGCCGGGGAGGGCAGAACGCUGGUGCCUGGCACAGGUGCCACAACACAUACGGGUGAGGACACUGAAAACCCCUCAGUUCCCCCGACUCAUGGCCACUUGUCCCAGUGACACAGCCAUGCUCUCCCACUCACCCACAAUAGGGUCUGAAUGUGCCCCCCAGAUUCACAGUGAGAAACUCAUUCCCCAGAGCAACAGUGUAGAGAGGUGGAACCUGAUGGGAGCCCCGCCCUCACAGACAAACUCCUGUAGCUGUCAAGACAGCUUGGGCAUGGAUUCCUCUCUGCCUUCUGCCAUGUGGACACGUGGCCUUCCUCCCCUCUCUCCUCCGGGGAAUGCAGUGUUUGGGCGCCAUCUUGGAAGCAGAGAUCAGGCCUCACCAGACACCAAGCCUGCUGGCACCAUGACCCUGGACUCCCAACCUCCACAGCUGGGAAAGAACUCUGCUCCCUAGAAAUUACCCAGGCUCGCUCAGGUAUUCUGUUACAGCAGCACCAAGAGACAUUCACUCGCUUACUCCCUCACUCUCUAACCCACUCCCAUUCACCCUCUCACUCCCUCUCUAACCCACUCCCAUUCACCCUCUCACUCCCUCGCUAACCCACUCCCAUUCACUCAUUCACUCACUCACUCUCUAGCCCACUUUUUUUUUGAGAUGGAGUCUUGCUCUGUUGCCCAGGCUGGAGUGCAGUGGCGCGAUCUCGGCUCACUGCAACCUCUGACUCCGAUUCAAGCUAUUCUCCUGCCUCAGUCUCCUGAGUAGCCGGGACUACAGGCAUGCACCACCAUGCCCAGCUAAUUUUGUUUUUUGUUUUUGUUUUGAGACUCGCUCUGUCUCCCAGGCUGAAGUGCAGUGGCACGAUCUCGGCUCACUGCAAGCUCCACCUCCCAGGUUCACACCAUUCUCCCGCCUCAGCCUUCUGAGUAGCUGGGAGUACAGGCGCCCGCCACCACGCCUGGCUAAUUUUGUUUUUGUAUUUUUAGUAGAGGCAGGGUUUCACCAUGUUGACCAGGCUGCUCCCGAACUGCUGACCUCAGAUCAUCUGCCCUCCUCGGCCUCCCAAAGUGCUGGGAUUACAGGCGUGAGCCACCGCGCCCGGCCCUCUUUAGCCCACUCAUUCACUCACUCCCUCGCUCUCUAACCCACUCCUGCUCACUCACUCAUUCACUGGCUCACUCACUCUCUAACCCACUCUCUCUCAUUCCCUUGCUCGUUCUCUAGCCCACCCUCGCACACUCAUUCACUGGCCCGCCCCUUAGGUGUGUGCUCCUGUACCAACACUGAAAUCCAGCUGUCACAACAGGCACCCACUGACUCCAGCCUCAUGGAACCACCAUUCACCAGGCUUGAGGGGAGGAUGUCACGGCGCGCUGCUCCCUUCGGUGCCAGCCAGGAUGGGGCCGGGUGGGUGCAGCUGGUGAAAAGAAAUGCAGCCCCCCAGCCCCUGCAGACCAAGCCGAACAGCCCAGCUCGCGGGUGGAUCACAGGGCACCCAGCAGCCGCCUUCCCUCCGGAAGAGCCAAGAAGGCUUCCAAGACCAGAAAUGCCCCCAGUGUGGCUGUGCCUGUCCCCGGUGCCCCGCCAGCUGGGGGGCAGCAUACCCAAACAGAUGCACCCUGCCCAUGAUGGCACCCCAGGGACCCCCAUCCUCAGGACCCUCCAGUCGUUCAAGCUGGAAUUGGCAGGUUUCUGCCUGUAUAGGCAUCGGCUUCAGAGUCUCAGGUGCUGCUUGGCAGGAAAAUGCAGGGCAGGAGGGGCUGGGCCUCAGCUCGAGGCUCCCAGGUGCAGCCCCCCACUCCACUGCAGGGCCCAGGGGGGCCAAGAACAGCCACAACAACAACAAAAGCCAAACUGGGAACGGAAUCGUGGAAAAAACCCUCAUAGGCUUUUGGGAACUUACAAAGAAAUGCCCACAUCCAUUCUACUAACAUGGCAUCUACUAACGUGGCAUCUACUAGGAUGCCACAAAACAGACAAAUCCUUCCACGUAAGGCUGGACACGUGUCAGGGCGGUGUCUCAAAGCUGGGCCACAGGCAGCAUCCACGGCCAGGCCACUGGGUGGAGGAGACGGUGCUGGGGAGGAGCCGGAGGGAGGGGCCGGGGCUGUUCCCUUAGGCAGAACGGCUCACCUGUGGUGUGCGCACAGCAGGAUUGUGGGGACACAAGAUGCCCCCUUCAUUCAUCAGUUACUUGUAUUCUUUGUAUGAAACACCUGCCGAUAAAAUGUGAAAAAGGGGCAUUUCCUAAAGU
rnacentral:lncRNA from 1 species